rnacentral:rRNA from 1 species
CAGAGGGUGCAAGCGUUGUUCGGAAUUAUUGGGCGUAAAGCGCGUGUAGGCGGCUUUGCAAGUCGGGUGUGAAAGCCCUCAGCUCAACUGAGGAAGUGCGCCCGAAACUGCAGAGCUUGAGUACCAGAGAGGAUGGCGGAAUUCCCCAAGUAGAGGUGAAAUUCGUAGAUAUGGGGAGGAACACCGGUGGCGAAGGCGGCCAUCUGGAUGGAUACUGACGCUGAGACGCGAAAGCGUGGGUAGCAAACAGGAUUAGAUACCCUGGUAGUCCACGCCGUAAACGAUGAGAACUAGGUGUCGUGGGUGUUGACCCCCGCGGUGCCGUAGCUAACGCAUUAAGUUCUCCGCCUGGGAAGUACGGCCGCAAGGCUA